rnacentral:tRNA from 1 species
AGAGGUGUAGCUCAGUGGUAGAGCACUUGCCUAGCAUGCAUGAGGCCUUGGAUUCAGAGCCAGCACCACAC